UGGCUCAGAACGAACGCUGGCGGCGCGUCUUAAGCAUGCAAGUCGAACGGCAAGAGGUAGCAAUACCUCCUAGAGUGGCGGACUGGUGAGUAACACGUGGGUGACAUACCCUUCAGAUGGGGAUAGCUAUUAGAAAUAGUAGAUAAUACCGAAUACGAGCACAGGGGGUUAGAGAUCUGUGAGGAAAGGAGCUAAGGCUCCGCUGAAGGAAUGGCCUGCGGCCCAUUAGCUAGUUGGUGAGGUAAGAGCCCACCAAGGCGAUGAUGGGUAUCCGGCCUUAGAGGGUGAACGGACACAUUGGGACUGAGAUACGGCCCAGACUCCUACGGGAGGCAGCAGCUAAGAAUAUUCCGCAAUGGACGAAAGUCUGACGGAGCGACGCCGCGUGGAUGAAGAAGGCCGGAAGGUUGUAAAAUCCUUUUGAAACUGAAGAAUAAGCGUUGUAGGGAAUGACAGCGUGGUGACAGUAGGUUUUGAAUAAGCAACGGCUAAUUACGUGCCAGCCGCAGC
rnacentral:rRNA from 1 species